GGUAGGGUGGCUGAGUCAAGCGGUGGAUUGUAGCUCCAUGCACAGAGGUUAAAGUCCUUUUCCUAUCA
rnacentral:tRNA from 1 species